rnacentral:rRNA from 1 species
UACGAAGGGGGCUAGCGUUGUUCGGAAUUACUGGGCGUAAAGCGCACGUAGGCGGGUUGUUAAGUCAGGGGUGAAAUCCUGGAGCUCAACUCCAGAACUGCCUUUGAUACUGGCAACCUAGAGACUGGAAGAGGUUAGUGGAAUUCCCAGUGCAGAGGUGAAAUUCGUAGAUAUUGGGAAGAACACCAGUGGCGAAGGCGGCUAACUGGUCCAGCACUGACGCUGAGGUGCGAAAGCGUGGGGAGCAAACAGG